UGACAAAUAGGAUUGUAGCCCUCCGAGGGA
rnacentral:piRNA from 1 species